UACGAAGGGGGCUAGCGUUGCUCGGAAUCACUGGGCGUAAAGCGCACGUAGGCGGAUUCUUAAGUCAGGGGUGAAAUCCUGGAGCUCAACUCCAGAACUGCCUUUGAUACUGAGGGUCUUGAGUUCGGGAGAGGUGAGUGGAACUGCGAGUGUAGAGGUGAAAAUUCGUAGAUAUUCGCAAGAACACCAGUGGCGAAGGCGGCUCACUGGCCCAUAACUGACGCUGAGGCACGAAAGCGUGGGGAGCAAACAGG
rnacentral:rRNA from 1 species